rnacentral:rRNA from 1 species
AUUGAACGCUGGCGGCAUGCCUAACACAUGCAAGUCGAGCGGAUGAGGGUAGCUUGCUCCUGUAUUCAGCGGCGGACGGGUGUGUAAUGCCUAUGAAUCUGCCUGGUCUUGGGGGAUAACGUCCGGAACCGGGCCCUAAUACCGCAUACGUCCUGCGUUAGAGAGUGGGGGGUCUUCUGACUUCACGCUAUCAGAUGCGCCUAGGGCGGCUUAGCUAGUGGGUGGGGUAAGGGCCUACCAAGGCGACGAUCCGUAACUGGUCUGAGAGGAUGAUCAGUCACAGUGGAAUUGAGACACGGUACAGACUCCUAGGGGAGGCAGCAGUGGGGAAGAUUGGACAAUGGGCGAAAGCUUGAUCAAGCGAUGCCGGGUGUGUGAAGAAGGUCUUCGGAGUGGAAAGCACUUUAAGUGGUGAGGAAGGGCAGUAAGAUGAUCCAUUGCUGUUUUGACGGUACCAGCAGAAUAAGCACCGGCUAACUACGUG